rnacentral:lncRNA from 1 species
GAGACUCCAUAAAUCAUUAAUGUUUAAUAAGCAUAUUAUAUAUACCUAGUCUGAUUUGAUUCAGCUGUUAAAGGCAUAUUAUUAAUCUAAGAAAUUUAGGUUUGAAUCCCAACACCCUAUAACCCCAAUCUCCAACUCAAAAAAUAAGCACAUCAUCUAUAAUUUAAAAAAAUAAAUAAAUAAAUAAAAACACAGCAAAAUAUUCCUCCACUUCAGAAAACUAGAGAACUUUUUUUACUACUUAAUGGGCAGCUAAAAUAUUAUUAAUACACAUACUAUUCACCAUUUAAUGCAAUUUUAUUGCACAAAGUUAUAUCGUCAUUAUGCAAUCACACAAAAGUUGCACGAUAUCUUUCUCAUGUAUGAAUAAUUGUAGACGUACAAGAGACGCUUAAAAAGUGGCAUUUUGUGAGCCAAUAGAACAAAAUGUGUCCGUAAUUGUAUUGUUUUGAUGUCAACGGUAGGCAAGUGGUUCGUUGUAAUCUAUCAAAUUUUCAAAUUAAAUUGGUAAUAUUAUCAAAAUUUCAAAAAUUUAGUAUAAUCGGAUGGUAGGCAAGUGGUAAUAUUAAAUUGGUAAUUAUCAAAAUUUCAAAUAUAUUAAGUUGAUGGUAGGCAAGUGGUAAUAUUAAAUUGGUAAUUAUCAAAUUUUCAACUAUAUUAGGUUGAUGGUAGGCGAGUGGUCGUUGUAAUAGGAUGAAAGGUCAUAGAAAAAAUAUAAGAAGUUAAUAACGCUAAAAAAAAAAUCAUAGCAGUAAGACUUGAAAUUUUGUUAAGUCUUUAUAAACUCAUUUUCUUUAACGGAUGUUUUUAAAAUUGUAGUCCAUGAAAAUGACAUAUAUAACAGUUUAUAUGAUUUGUUUUUCUUUUAAUUUCUUUCUCUCCAUCGUUUCCUGCCGUCUCUCCAUGUCUUUAUUUCUCAAAAUAUUAUAAUUUCAAAUCAUUAGUUUAUAUGAUUUGUUUUUCUUUUAAUUUCUUCCUCUCCAUCGUUUCGGCCGUCUCUCCAUGUCUUUAUUUCUCAAAAUAUUAUAAUUUCAAAUCAUUUCAUAUGUUAGUCAAUAAUAUUGUUAAUAAUACUUCUUUAGCGUUUUAGGUUUUAUUUAUUUAAAGAGAUAUUUAAAAAAUAUCUUCUAAAAUAUUUUCCAUAAAAGAUAUUUUAUAAUAAAAUAACUUUUUUUUUUAUUAUUUAAUUUUUAUUUAAAAAUUAAAAUAUAUUAAUAAAUUUUUAUAUUGGUAUUUUACUAAGAUUUUGAAAUUGUAAAAAUGAUAUUUUGUUAAAAAAUAUUUUUAAUUAACCAAUUUUAGAAAUGUUAAAUGGUUUUUGAAAAACAAAUUGUGGAAAACUAAGAAAGCUUGCCUAAAAAUUAAUAUAAUUUUUUAUGAUUGAAGUAAUAAAAAGAUACAAUAAAAAUCAUGGCAGUGGAUUUGGAACUUUUUUCAUUUUUCGGUCUUCUGCAACGAAGAAUUAAGUUAAGCCUUGUUUGAGUAUCAUGUUUUUAAAAUUCUGGUCCUAGAAGAGAACUUUUAUGCUUCGGUUGAGUAAGUGUUUUCAUCAUGCAUUAUUCAAUUGCAAUUAAAAAGUUUGAUUUGCAUCAAUUCAUUUUAAUUACUUUUGAUAAUAUAUGAUUUAGUUAAUAAUGGAAGUAAUUUAAUUUCUUUAACUAAUAUACCUAAACUAAAUAUUAUUUAUAUUUUUAUCAAUGAUACUAAAGUAUAUAUUGUUUUUUAAUAAUAUAUAACUAUAUUUUCAUUUAUAUUAUAAGCUUAUAAAUUAAUAUUAAUUAAAUUAUACAUUAU